rnacentral:rRNA from 1 species
GAGGAAUAUUGGUCAAUGGACGGAAGUCUGAACCAGCCAAGUAGCGUGCAGGAUGACGGCCCUAUGGGUUGUAAACUGCUUUUGUAUGGGGAUAAAGUUAGGGACGUGUCCCUAUUUGCAGGUACCAUACGAAUAAGGACCGGCUAAUUCCGUGCCAGCAGCCGCGGUAAUACGGAAGGUCCAGGCGUUAUCCGGAUUUAUUGGGUUUAAAGGGAGCGUAGGCUGGAGAUUAAGUGUGUUGUGAAAUGUAGACGCUCAACGUCUGAAUUGCAGCGCAUACUGGUUUCCUUGAGUACGCACAACGUUGGCGGAAUUCGUCGUGUAGCGGUGAAAUGCUUAGAUAUGACGAAGAACUCCGAUUGCGAAGGCAGCUGACGGGAGCGCAACUGACGCUUAAGCUCGAAGGUACGGGUAUCAAACAGGAUUAGAUACCCUGGUAGUCCGCACAGUAAACGAUGGAUGCCCGCUGUUGGUACCUGGUAUCAGCGGCUAAGCGAAAGCAUUAAGCAUCCCACCUGGGGAGUACGCCGGCAACGGUG